rnacentral:rRNA from 1 species
GAUGAACGCUGGCGGCGUGCCUAAUACAUGCAAGUCGAGCGAAGCGGGGAAGGGUGGGUAACAAGUUGAUAAACUCCCAUAAUACUGGGGUAACUUCGGGAAAACCGGGCUAAACCGGGUACUUAUUGAUGGAUUCGCGCUGCAUUUGCUAGUUGGUAAGGUAACGGCUUACCAAGGCAACGAUGCCUAGCCGACCUGAGAGGGUGAUCGGCCACACUGGAACUGAGACACGGUCCAGACUCCUACGGGAGGCAGCAGUAGGGAAUCUUCCGCAAUGGGCGAAAGCCUGACGGAGCAACGCCGCGUGAGUGAUGAAGGUCUUCGGAUCGUAAAACUCUGUUAGUAGGGAAGCGGUACCUAAUCAGAAAGCCACGGCUAACUACGUGCCAGCAGCCGCGGUAAUUC